AUUUGAAACUGUAUGCUUUGUUGAACAUCUUCACUCCUUUAAGGUUAAGGAGGAGCUUUGUAGAAAAGUUUCCCUUUUGAAUGUUGAAACCUUGCGUUUUUUUAAGCCAUUCGACCUUCAGAUAAGUUAUGGAUUGGAGGAAAAUGACUUUUAUAUAGUUCCUGUACACGUUUUCACAUGAACCACUUUAGUUCAGUGAUGGUACAUUGCUGAGGCUUUCCUGUAUGUUUAGAUUUGAAAGAUGCUAUUUCUGUGCUCAGUAAAACGUCGGAUAUUGUUUGAUGGACAGCAUUUUUUGCUUGCUUAUGAAAUUGAAAGUGUGCUUUUGUUGAACAUUACUAAUUUCAAGGAAAUCCCCCUUUUUGAGUGAUUUUUGCUGUGGUUUUAAUCCAUGUAUUUUUUUUAAACAACUGUAUGCAAAAAUUACUUUUAUAUUUUUAUAAAGCAUUUUGGUUCAGGAAUGGGGCUUUAGCUCAUGUUGUCUUGUUUAUGUUUGGCAGUGACAAGUAAAAUAUUAAACAUUUCCACUGCAUUUUUUUCAAUGUGACAAAUGUUUGUCUAAAAAAUGACAUUAAUGACAAAUUAAAGUUUUCAGGUAUGAAAUGCAUAUUCUGUGAAGUGAUUUAAUGUUGCCUGUGCUGUGAAUUUUUAAGAAAAUCAAUUCUGUUUUGUAACUUUC
rnacentral:lncRNA from 1 species